UCCCCGGUAGCUCAGCUGGUAGAGAAUCUGCCUGAAAUGCAGGAGACCUUGGUUCGAUUCCUGAGUCAGGAAA
rfam:TPA: Bos taurus chromosome 2, whole genome shotgun sequence.